rnacentral:rRNA from 1 species
UACGUAGGGUGCGAGCGUUAAUCGGAAUUACUGGGCGUAAAGCGUGCGCAGGCGGUUCGCUAAGACCGAUGUGAAAUCCCCGGGCUUAACCUGGGAACUGCAUUGGUGACUGGCGGGCUAGAGUGUGGCAGAGGGGGGUAGAAUUCCACGUGUAGCAGUGAAAUGCGUAGAGAUGUGGAGGAAUACCGAUGGCGCAGGCAGCCCCCUGGGCUAACACUGACGCUCAUGCACGAAAGCGUGGGGAGCAAACAGG